rnacentral:lncRNA from 1 species
GCUACGCUCCUCUGCACAAUGUAAUCCCAGAAAAUUUGCCCAAAUUAAGAAGUUUCAUAACAACAGGCUUCAAAUGACCAAAUGAACUAAAAUCUAAUUUACUUACCAACUUCACGCAUCUCAACUGUACAUACAAAAUUGGAACAACAUUAUUUGUCUUGUUCACAAUCAAGAAAAUGAACUUCUUUUUCGUGAAAAUGAGCUCGAUUAAGUAAAAACGUAGAGAAUCUUACAGUUUCUUCUUUGUAGAAAAGCAAAGAUAAUAAUGUCAAA